ACUUAAAGGCGAAGGACAACACUAAAAACAAAGCCGCAGCCAUUUUGAGUGAAGCUGAAGCGUUCAUGUCCAGUGGUCUUAUGCAUGUUUCUGCAGACUCACAUUAUAAUAUUUGGCACUUUCAAAUUUGUGACAGAAAAUGGUUCGUAACUACCAGAGGAAAACUGAUCGAGGAAAAUUGAGUGAAGAAAAGUUAUGCAAGCUGUUCUGGAGGUGACAAAUAAUCGGAUUGGAAGUAAGAGAGCAGCAGAAUCGUUUCGUGUGCCUCAAACAACAUUGCAAAGAAAGGUAAAAAAGUAUAAAUGUGAAAAUUAAGAUGAGAUUCCUACUGGAUACAAAUUUGAAGAAAAAUUAGGUCCAAUUUCAACAGUUUCGAAAGAAGAAAAUGAGUUAGUUGAAUACAUUAAGUUGAUGGAGAAAAGAUUGUUCGGUCUGAGUACAAUAAUGAACUAAGAAAAUUGGCUUAUCAACUUGCUCAGAAAGAUAACCAAACGCACAGUUCCAAUCACUUGAAGGCAGUAGCAGGGAAGGACUGGGUUGCUGCGUUCUUUAAACAAAAUCCAACUUUGUCAAUCAGAAUGCCUGAAGCCACAUCAAUAGCUAGGGCUAUGGUCUUCAACAAGGAAAAUGUAGGACACUUUUAUUUACUACUAGGAGAGCUCUAUGACAAACUUAAAUUCACCCCUGAAAGGAUCUUCAACUGCGAUGAGAGUGGAAUAUCAUCAGUUUCAAAAAACACCUCGAAAAUACUAGCUACUAAAGGAAAAAAACAAGUAGGAUUAUUGUCUUCUGCUGAAAGAGGAAAAACAGUGAAAGUUGAAUUCUGCAUGAGUGCUUCUGGGCUUUACAUGCCGCCACUUCUUGUGUACCCUAGGCAGAGAAUGAAGCCUGAAUUACUGAAUAACUGCUACCCUGGCAUGUGAGCAGCAUGCAACAUCUCAGGAUGGAUGCAGAAAAAGAUUUUUGAUAAUUGGUUUGAGAAAUUCAUAGUGAUUUUCUGGUGCAACAAUCCAAACUUUUUUCCAGAUUCAGCAUUUUCAGCAUCAGCUACAACAGAUCGACCGGAAAUUAUCACUGAUCCUGAAAUAGAAUGUGCCUUGUAAAAAUGUUCCAGCUAACAAUGAUGCCUAGCCUGGGUGUACUCAUUGGGGUCCAGCUGUACAUGAAGUUGAAGAAAACGACAUUAUUCACAAUGUACCAAGUAGUUCUCAAGGUAAUUUCACAAUAUCUCCUGAGCAAAUUUUGCCUCUUCCUCAUGUAGGACGAGCGAACGUUAAACAGACAAAUAAUAAAAAAGGUAAAACUGUUGUGGUAACAAGCUCUCCAUACAAAAAUGAACUCAUGGAUUUCAACAAAGAUUAAAAAAAAA